rnacentral:ribozyme from 17 species
GAAGAGAAACGGAACCGUCGACACAAGCAGAAAGAUUACUGUUGGAUGGUAUUUCGUUACCAUGAGAAACUUUUUUUUUUUUUUUUUUUUUUUUUUUUUUUUUUAAAAAAAUUUAACUUUUA